rnacentral:rRNA from 2 species
UGCAGUCGAACGAGUUCUGAUUAUUGAAAGGUGCUUGCAUCUUGAUUUAAUUUUGAACGAGUGGCGGACGGGUGAGUAACACGUGGGUAACCUGCCCUUAAGUGGGGGAUAACAUUUGGAAACAGAUGCUAAUACCGCAUAAAUCCAAGAACCGCAUGGUUCUUGGCUGAAAGAUGGCGUAAGCUAUCGCUUUUGGAUGGACCCGCGGCGUAUUAGCUAGUUGGUGAGGUAACGGCUCACCAAGGCAAUGAUACGUAGCCGAACUGAGAGGUUGAUCGGCCACAUUGGGACUGAGACACGGCCCAAACUCCUACGGGAGGCAGCAGUAGGGAAUCUUCCACAAUGGACGCAAGUCUGAUGGAGCAACGCCGCGUGAGUGAAGAAGGCUUUCGGGUCGUAAAACUCUGUUGUUGGAGAAGAAUGGUCGGCAGAGUAACUGUUGUCGGCGUGACGGUAUCCAACCAGAAAGCCACGGCUAACUACGUGCCAGCAGCCGCGGUAAUACGUAGGUGGCAAGCGUUAUCCGGAUUUAUUGGGCGUAAAGCGAGCGCAGGCGGUUUUUUAAGUCUGAUGUGAAAGCCCUCGGCUUAACCGAGGAAGUGCAUCGGAAACUGGGAAACUUGAGUGCAGAAGAGGACAGUGGAACUCCAUGUGUAGCGGUGAAAUGCGUAGAUAUAUGGAAGAACACCAGUGGCGAAGGCGGCUGUCUGGUCUGUAACUGACGCUGAGGCUCGAAAGCAUGGGUAGCGAACAGGAUUAGAUACCCUGGUAGUCCAUGCCGUAAACGAUGAAUGCUAGGUGUUGGAGGGUUUCCGCCCUUCAGUGCCGCAGCUAACGCAUUAAGCAUUCCGCCUGGGGAGUACGACCGCAAGGUUGAAACUCAAAGGAAUUGACGGGGGCCCGCACAAGCGGUGGAGCAUGUGGUUUAAUUCGAAGCAACGCGAAGAACCUUACCAGGUCUUGACAUCUUUUGAUCACCUGAAAGAUCAGGUUUCCCCUUCGGGGGCAAAAUGACAGGUGGUGCAUGGUUGUCCUCACCUCGUGUCCUGAAAUGUUGGGUUAAGUCCCGCAACGAGCGCAACCCUUAUGACUAGUUGCCAGCAUUUAGUUGGGCACUCUAGUAAGACUGCCGGUGACAAACCGGAGGAAGGUGGGGAUGACGUCAAAUCAUCAUGCCCCUUAUGACCUGGGCUACACACGUGCUACAAUGGAUGGUACAACGAGUUGCGAGACCGCGAGGUCAAGCUAAUCUCUUAAAGCCAUUCUCAGUUCGGACUGUAGGCUGCAACUCGCCUACACGAAGUCGGAAUCGCUAGUAAUCGCGGAUCAGCACGCCGCGGUGAAUACGUUCCCGGGCCUUGUACACACCGCCCGUCACACCAUGAGAGUUUGUAACACCCGAAGCCGGUGGCGUAACCC